rnacentral:rRNA from 1 species
GUGUCAGCAGCCGCGGUAAGACGAAGGGGGCGGGCGUUACCCAUGAUGACUGGGCGUAAAGGGUCCGUAGGCGGCUUUUUAUGUUAAAAGUAAAAUCAAAAAGCUUUACUUUUUGAGGCUUUUAAUACGUUAGAGCUCGGAGUUUGAAGGAAGAUAGUAGAAUUUCAUAUGAAGGGGUGAAAUCCGUAGAAUUAUGAAGGAAUACUAAAGGCGAAGGCAACUAUCUAUUUCAAUCUGACGUUGAGGGACGAAAGCAUGGGGAGCAAACAGGAUUAGAUACCCUGGUAGUCC